ensembl:lncRNA
CCUUCAACUUGUCGCUGUCCAUCUGCAUGAGCUGCUGGCCGUCCACGGCCUUGGCUGUGAACUCGGGAGUGUAUUGGUCCAUGUUCAUGCCCAUCAGCCAGUGACAGACUUGCUGAUUGGUCCAUUCAGGAACAGGGCGGUUCUGCCAUUGAUACUCCUUUCCUGUUGACACCGGUUCGUCGUCCAGUGUCUAAAAAAACACAAAAUCAUUGAAAUUGAAAACUGUUCAAUAAAAAUAACAAAAGCUGAGAGUCAACGUAAUAAAAUAGAGUCCAAAAUGUGCAGGUUGGUGACAUUUUGGAGGCUUAGUCAUUGCAAUGUCAAACUUGUUGGCAACAACAUGUGCUCAGUGAGUGAACAUGUGAAGUGUGAACCAUUAAAGUUAUGAAAACACAAAACAAGGCCAGCUGUAUGGAUAUCAAAACACGGCGAAGCAAUGAUAUCCGUUAGCUGACCGUUGAAUGAGGUAACAUCUGCGUGCAAUUACCUACAAAGCGUAAGAAAUAAAACAUGCAUGUGCCCCAGGCCGCCGAAAGAGAUUGCGUUCUACAUGCAUGUGAACCUCACAGGGAAUGAAGCAGUAACAAUAAUGUACAUUUUACUCGUCAGGGUUGGAAAACACACUUAUACACGUUAUCCUAAUUAAAAACAUCUGAAGUCUAAAAACAGCAGAUUAUUACAAUUAACUAGCACAGACUGUACUGCGUAUUUACAGUAGGUGUUGCGUAACAGAAAAUACAAAAAUAGGCACGGCUUGCCAAGAAAAAACGGAGACAGUUCGAAACCCUUCACCGGUCUAACAGAGCUAGUGAGCAAGCCAGGUGGUGGUGACAGCACGACUCCCAAAGACUAGAGGGGUUUACAGGACACUGAGGUACAGUAACAGCUGACUCACAAGGAAAACAGAGCUAGGCCAUAACAAUAAGAGCAGCACAACGCAACUAAACACACAAUCACACCCCUCCUUCAUGCACAUGCACCCUUCCAGCUUAAGUCAGGCGUUUAUUUAUAACCCGUGCGGAAGGCGGGAACCCCAGGGGGGGGCGGGCCGUGCACACUACCCCCCCGGAGACGCGAGCCCGGGGGGGGGGGCCGGGGCCGGGACAAACACUCACCUCGGUGGACGAGAAGAUUAGGGUGUGUGAGCGGCCGGACAGAUUGGGCUCAGCCACCAGCCCCGAGAGCUCAGAGCUAGGGCUGCCCGGGCUACAGUCGUCUACGACUGACACACUCUGGAACAGGUGGGGACAAUCAACAGCGCGUUAACCACACAGCCACGUCAUCAUCAGGGCCAGCCCACAUCAAUAACAACAACUACUACUACUACUACUACUACUACUACAACGAGUGGGGUGGGGAUUACGAGGGGGGAAGGAACAGUGGUGCAUGCUGGGUAAAGUACAUUUGGGUGGGAAUGAGGGUGAAGGAUUCAAACGGGUUUAGCGUGACCGCCAUUGGGGUGAUGUUAGGGUUGGUGAUUCAGGGCGGGAGAAGCGUCAGUUGACCGCACCUAAUCCAUUGCUACCAUGCUACGCUAAGUGCUACAUGUCGCUAGGCUACAACGCGAGGCGCUGGCGCCCGCAGUCCGACAGAGAGAGGGGACAUCGGCUCGUGCACGCUCCGGCCACAUGGGACGAUAGCAAACACCCAAACACACAGCAAUGCUAGUACAAUAGCAACCACUUCGAAGUCUUGAGACCCCAACUCUACUUCUAUCAGAGGGAAGCAGACAAGCUAAACACUAGGGUAUGUGGUAAUGUCCUCAAGAAACAACUGCAAAGUAGUUUUAAUUUAUUUACACAUUUUGAGCGCUUCUUUGUGGAGAGUACAACUCGACAGUGCAUCAACAAUGCACUGUCGGAGUUCAAGUUUAAUCUAUGUCCUAUAAAUGUUGUCUCAAUCACAGAUUAGUCCUAAUCCAGGCACUCCAGACAAGGCCAAUUUCUUAAUCUGACUCCCACUGAGACUGCCAUGGGCCAUCAGUUUCCAAGGCGCUUAAUCCACAAAUGAGGUUAUAUUGAGUCACAGUCACAUUACCACAUACCUGCAGCUAGUGGAAGACACACACAGGAGGUUACAAAUCACCACACUACUGGUUAGUCAUCUAGAUCAAAUCAUUUGAGUUAUAACGUGAAGAGAAAUAACGAUAUACUGUACCAAGUCUAACGAUCGACUGAAUAAAGACGACCAAGAGAGAUUUGUCUGUUUUUAAAAACGAAAAAAAAAAAAGGAGAGUUCAGAGAGACAUUUUUCCCCCCGGGAUCAUAAAUCUGUCACACUGGUGAUAUUUAACACUGAGCCGCCGUAACGAUGCGGACCAGGGAUGGAAUGAAAAGCGGUCUGAACCAUCGCCCUUAAGAUAACUUUACAGCAGACCUCGUCUAACUUUACAGUCGACCUCGUCCGCCUUAAACCGAGAGCAGGCCUUCCGACGGAACGCCGGCCAGGUUCCAGGUGCUGCGUCACCAUUCGCAGACUCAUUAAGAAGCAGCUGAAUCCGUUCCCACCUCGCUCUCCCUCUCCCCCGCCCUUUCCUGCUAUAAUGAAUUACAGAAGGACACGACUAUUUUGGUCAAAGUUGGAAGUUGAUUCAUUUUAAAGAAACAGUUGCUCCGAAUUGGGGAAACGUCUGGGCUUGGUUAAUGAGCCACCAUUCUGACUGUUUUUCUUUCUCCCUUUUGAGGCGCUGGGGGGGGAUAUUCUGUAAUUAAGGGCAGGGUAAACACUGUCUCUCUCACACAUGGCUCGCGUUGAGAGAUACGGCAGGGUGGCUAAGAAUAGUCCAGCGAGACGCAGAACACCACAACGGGGUCAACCUGCUCUCUGGAACCUGCUGUUUUCAGACGGCUGCAUAAGGACUCCAUCACUGGGGAACCUCUGGCCAGGGCCCGAGCCAAUGCCCGUUGAACCUUUCAUCUGCCUUAACUUCAUUUGCUUCAAGCGUUUAGUUGCCAAACCACGAAGCACUAACAGUUGAUUGGAAUAAUGUAAUCUACCGUCAGUUUAAUACACACAAACCUUAUUUGGCUAGGCCGCUUUGACCUGUCUGUCGGCAAAUUAAUCCAACGUGUUUAUUUCACUUUACAAUCAAUCAACAGAGACUUUGGGUUAACGACUCCGUGAAUUGAAUCCAUGAAAUGAACAACCAGAAUUGUGUGAUUGUUCUCUCAGACGUUCGUCAACGUCAUCCCGUUUCAACAGAGUCACACGCACGUCAACAAGCUAACCCCCCCGUUACAACACGCAGUAGUAGCGUGUUCUGCUGGUUCAUGGCCCGGUACAAGGCCAGAUCCUGGCCCAGGUUCAGGCCCCGGUUCUGGCCUGGUUCAGGCCCCGGUUAAGCCCCCGGUUCUAGCCUGGUUCAGGCCCCGGUUAAGCCCCCGGUUCAGGCCCCGGUUAAGCCCCCGGUUCUGGCCUGGUUCAGGCCCCUGUUCUGACCUGGUUCAGGCCCCGGUUAAGCCCCCGGUUCUGGCCUGGUUCAGGCCCCUGUUCUGACCUGGUUCAGGCCCCGGUUCUGGCCCCGGUUCUGGCCCGGUUCUGGCCUGGUUCAGGCCCCGGUUCUGGCCCCAGUCUGGCCCCGGUUCUGGCCCCGGUUCUGGCCUGGUUCUGGGCCUGGUUCUGGCCUGGUUCUGGCCUGGUUCUGGCCCCGGCCCGCGGAGCGUACCUUGUUCCGGCGCUCCUGGCUCUGCUCGCUGCUGGUCUCGGUGGCGGUGUAGGGCAGGCUGCUGCUGGACGACGACGGCUCCUUGUCCCGCUCCUUGUCCCCGAACCAGUUGAAGGGCAUGCAGGUGGGGAUGGACGACAUGGACUCAGCCGGGGAGAUGGUCCCCCCGGACUGCUCCAGGAGGUCCGCCGAACCCCUGGGAGGAGGGCAGGAGACGCAGGUCAGAGGUCAGAGGUGGUUAGUCCCAGGAUAAGAUCAAAAUUGACCUUUUUGAAAAAUGAAACUCUUAUUAUAUUUGGGCGCCAGGAAAGUCAUGAGCGUACACACGCAGGCGAUAAGGAGAACCGUUUGUAUAUCAAAUAUUUUAAUUUAAUCCAAUAAUGCAUGAUGAGUACAUUUGUGAUCAUUGUGACUUUGAGUCCUGGUCCUGAAGAUGCGAAGGCUUACCUGCUCCCCAUAGACGCUCUCAUAGCCUCCUUGUCGUGUU